rnacentral:rRNA from 1 species
UACAGAGGGUGCAAGCGUUAAUCGGAAUUACUGGGCGUAAAGCGUGCGUAGUCGGCUUUUUAAGUCGGGUGUGAAAUCCCCGGGCUCAACCUGGGAAUUGCAUUCGAUACUGGAUAGCUAGAGUUCGGCAGAGGGAAGUGGAAUUUCUGGUGUAGCGGUGAAAUGCGUAGAUAUCAGAAGGAACAUCAGUGGCGAAAGCGACUUCCUAGACCAGAACUGACGAUCAGGCACGAAAGCGUGGGGAGCAAACAGG